AACGAACGCUGGCGGCAUGCCUAACACAUGCAAGUCGAACGAAGCCUUCGGGCUUAGUGGCGCACGGGUGCGUAACACGUGGGAAUCUGCCCUUCGGUCCGGAAUAACAGUUAGAAAUGACUGCUAAUACCGGAUGAUGACGUAAGUCCAAAGAUUUAUCGCCGAAGGAUGAGCCCGCGUAGGAUUAGGUAGUUGGUAGGGUAAUGGCCUACCAAGCCGACGAUCCUUAGCUGGUCUGAGAGGAUGAUCAGCCACACUGGGACUGAGACACGGCCCAGACUCCUACGGGAGGCAGCAGUGGGGAAUAUUGGACAAUGGGCGAAAGCCUGAUCCAGCAAUGCCGCGUGAGUGGUGAAGGCCUUAGGGUUGUAAAGCUCUUUUACCAGGGAUGAUAAUGACAGUACCUGGAGAAUAAGCUCCGGCUAACUCCGUGCCAGCAGCCGCGGUAAU
rnacentral:rRNA from 1 species